AUUGAACGCUGGCGGCAGGCUUAACACAUGCAAGUCGACCGAGUGGCGGACGGGUGAGUAAUGCUUGGGAAUCUACCUUAUGGAGGGGGAUAACUACGGGAAACUGUAGCUAAUACCGCGUACCAUAGGAUGAGCCCAAGUGGGAUUAGGUAGUUGGUGAGGUAAAGGCUCACCAAGCCGACGAUCUCUAGCUGGUCUGAGAGGAUGACAAGCCAAACUGGACCUGAGACACGGCCAAGACUCCUACGGGAGGCAGCAGUGGGGAAUAUUGAGCAAUGGGGGAAAUCUGAAGCAGCCAUGCCGGGUGAAUGAAGAAGGCCUUCGGGUUGUAAAGUACUUGCGGUAGGGAGGCGUUAACCGCAGAAGAAGCACCGGCUAACUCCGUGCCAGCAGCCGCGGUAAUUC
rnacentral:rRNA from 1 species